AUGACGUCACUCCCGCAGCUUCCCGCCGAGCUGUGGCUGCAGGUGUUCAGCUUCCUGUCGUGGAAAGACAAGCUGAGCAUGCGCUGCACCUGCUCACACUUCAGACACCUGCUGGAUAAGUCCCGCCCCCUGUGGCGCGGCUUCUGCGUCGUGCUGCGUCACUUCUCCAGGUACAACCGCCGGUUCUGGCGCAGCCUGGCUCAGAGGCACGUGGGCAGCGUGAUGGUGUGUUCAGGAAAGAGCAAACACCUGUGGCAGCUGUCUGCGUCGCUUCCGGCCCUUCGUGCCCUGCGAUUGGACGACUGGAGAGAAGGGGGUCUCGACAAGCUGAAACUGUUCCAGCAGCUGCAGCGCCUGUCCAUCACUUCCUGUUCCACGCCGCUGAAGACCCUGGACUUCCUGUUUCCUCUGAGUAAUCAGCUGACGCAGCUCAGCCUCUGUCAGGUGCAGCUCACCUGUCUGUCCUCUCAGCUGCUGGACGCCGUCGGUCAGCUGACCCGUCUCACCUCCCUGCUGCUGCAUCACGACGGCAGCCUGUGGGUCCCGACGCCCGGCAGCAUCCUGACUCACCGGCCCGACCUCACACACCUGUCCUGGACCAUGAUCACCUACAAAACGCUGUCACGUGACUUUUUUUGCCCCGCCCACCUCUCAGCAGGUGGCGGCGCUGUGCAGCUGUCGGAACUUCAGCUGCUCGACUACGAUGCUGCGGUGACACAGGAAGUCCUGCAGCCUUUGUCCCGCCUCCAAAGCCUGUCAAUCUUCCACCUGUACUCCGUACCUGGUCCCGUCUGUCACCUGACAACAUGGCUGACGUCACUGCCUGAGCUGCGCAGCCUCAGUGUGCAUGGAGGCCACCCUCUGGCAGCGUACGUGGACUUCCUGCCGAGGUCGCUGCACAGCCUGACGCUGUGUGUGGAGCUGCAUCCUGACGACCUGCAGGUGGCGUCGCUCCGAGCUCCUUGCCUGGAGCACCUGCACCUGGAGCCCUGGAGCUCCUCCUCCGACCUGGUCAGGCUCCUCCCACAGCUGUUCCCUCACCUGCGAACGCUCCACAUCAGACAUCAGCACGUCUCAGAUGACGACUUCCUGUCGCUGCAGCUGCUGCGGCGACUCGACACACUGGAGGUAUUGGACUCGUACCACCGACCUGAGCCCACGGACCCGAGCCGGGUCGUGUUCGAGCCGAGCCCGCGCCUGCUGCGGCUGACCUCCAACCUCCAGAGACUGACAAAUCACAGAGUGAGAGUCGUCACCAGCUCACACAGUGACACGCUUGCCUGCCACUGUGUCUGACCAAUCAGAGGAGGGACGUCACUGGAGGAGGCGGGGGAUUGUUUUAGUUUGAAUGUGAUUUAUUAUUAGGUUUGGUGUCAACACCCGAUGGUUCCGUGAGUGGGUCGGAACCAACACUCCGAAUAAACAGCUCUCAUCGGGAAGGAGACUCUGGCCGUGUCUCAAUACCAAAGUACGCGAGUACGUUUCAAGAACGUUCUUGAGAGUUCAACUCGGGUGAACAUUCUGCAGAGAACAGGAGGACGCAGAAUGGUCAUUCUGCAAUUGGAACAGCAGCGUACUUUCUUUCUUCUGGUUUUAUAGUGGGUAUGGCACAUUACUGCCAACUACCUGCAGGAGUGUGGGCCAAAGCAAAGGAAAAGAAAGAAAAAGGGUUAUAAAAUUUAGACUACACAUAAUGGCCAGUGCCGGGAAAUAAACGUUGUGGUGGGUUGUGGAGGACAUUUUAGUGAGUGAGGAAAAUAGCAUUGCAAUAUAUAAAUGGAUCAAAAUCGCGUUGCCGUUUGUUGUUGCGAAAUGCAUUCUGGGAUACUUGGCUCUCCCAGGAACACGUCUCCUCCGACAUCCGGGCAUGUGGACGUUCUUGGCUCGAUGCGUUCUUUGUAUUGGAACAGUACUUUGGCCGCGACUGAUGACGUUUCACGAGAACACGAGUACAGAGAAGAACGCACAUUGAGAAACUGCUACUGUCCGGCCAACGUCCGGUCCGUCAGGAACAAGGUCAACGAGCUGGAAUAUAAAACCUUCUUGUGUUUACAUCCACAGCUGCACAGCUGAUCGCUGACGUCACUCAGAAGCAACUCAAUCUGCCCGAAUGCCCCGCCCACUUAAUUCAACCCUCACGAUUUUAUCCAUUGUUCCCUGGAACGACCACGAGGACUCAACAGACCCGUGAAUGGCGUAAUAUCAUGUGUAUUAUAUAUAGUUAUUAUAAUUACUGUACAUGACGUACACAGUCUCCAUCGCAUCAGGUUUCACUUCAACGAAACUGAUAACUUUCAGAUUCUGUCGUUUUCAUCUCUUCGAAGUAUAACAGUUGUUUCAAAUGAUAAACCUUUGGUGACUAAAAAAAACGGGAGAACUUUUGAGAAAAGAACCAUCUCCAGAGCAGUGACAUCACAUCAGCCUGAUGAACUACAUCUAUUGCCUCAAUCACCACACGUGAGGCCGAUCAAACUGUCUGAGCACAAUCGGACAAAUUCCUUUUUCUAUGUCGUUCACGUCUCAGAAGCGUGAUCUCAGGGAUUUUGUCAGACCUAUUUAAAAAGGCAUGAGAAACGACACAUUUCUGAAGAUGAACUACAAAAACCUCAGCAGCUCCAUCAGCAUGGUUCAGUGUUUUAUGAUUCAUAUGUAACAAACUGACAUCUGGAUCAUAUUCAUACUCUUCUUCAGAUUGAAUUGUUUGUUCGUUCAUGACGUGUCACGUUAAAUAUUGCGGCCGCAAUGAAUUGUGGGUCUAUUACUCCUCACAUAGGAAGCUCCAGUGUCCUCUGCUACAGGAGAUAGGAAAAACUUUCAGAAUCUGGACAUCAUGUUACUGAGGAAACACUUCAGGGUCACUACAACAUUUAGGAAAAUUCCUAAUACAAUUGGACCUCACCCCUAGAGUCUGAGAGAGAACAGGAAAUAGAACCUUCAGCCACCAGGCUCCUCCCCUUUUGGAACCAGCUUCCAUCAUGCACCUCGCUGGUCACAGCAGCUAUUCUGGUUCUGUUAAGAGUUUUUCUCUCGUCACAGCUGCUUGUUAUGAGGUCACUAUGUAAAGAACCUUGAUACGAUGUUGUGAUAUUGAACGGUUAUUACAUUAUCAUAUUAAUAUAAUAACAUUAGUUCUGAUGUCACUGAAAGUCAGUGACUAGACGAUGUGUCAGACAAUCUAAGGCCACGCCCCCACUCAGUUUGAGGUGAUGUCACCUGAACAAGUACUGAAAACACUUUUAAUUCGAAAUUAUAAACAGACUUCCUGCUCAGGUAUUUACAAAGAGACAAAAUAAGAUUUAUAUAAAAACAAAAAUGUCUUUUCUGCUUGUGCAGUCCAUUGUUAAACUCCCAGAAUGCUUAGCGUCCAGAGGUCCAGACAGGUUUGUGAGGGGGUGGAGUCUAAUGUCGUCACUCUGACAUGUCGCCG